GACGAACGCUGGCGGCGUGCCUAAUACAUGCAAGUAGGACGCAGUUGCGAACGGGUGAGUAACGCGUAGGUAACUACCUAUUAGAGGGGGAUAACUAUGGGAAACGAUAGCUAAUACCGCAUACUAGUAGAUGGACCUGCAUUGUAUUAGCUAGUAGGUAGGGUAAUGGCCUACCCAGGCAACGAUACAUAACAGACCGUAGAGUGGGAUCGGCGACACUGUGACGGGUACACGGAACAGACCCCAACGGGAUGCAGCUGUAGGGAUUCGAUGGCAGUGGGGCUGACCCUGACCGCGCAACGCCGCGUGAGUGAAGAAGGUUGUCGGAUCGUAAAGCGCUGUUGUUAAGGAAGCGGUACUUAACCAGAAAGGGACGGCUAACUACGUGCCAGCAGCCGCGGUAAUAC
rnacentral:rRNA from 1 species